rnacentral:rRNA from 1 species
UACGUAGGGGGCAAGCGUUAUCCGGAUUUACUGGGUGUAAAGGGAGCGUAGACGGUGAUGCAAGUCAGAAGUGAAAGCCCGGGGCUCAACUCCGGGACUGCUUUUGAAACUGUGUGACUGGAGUGCAGGAGAGGUAAGCGGAAUUCCUGGUGUAGCGGUGAAAUGCGUAGAUAUCAGGAGGAACACCAGUGGCGAAGGCAGCCUGCCGCAGCGUUACUGACGCUGAAGCUCGAAAGCGCGGGUAUCGAACAGG